GACAAACGCUGGCGGCGUGCCUAAUACAUGCAAGUCGAACGCUUCUUUCCUCCCGAGUGCUUGCACUCAAUUGGAAAGAGGAGUGGCGGACGGGUGAGUAACACGUGGGUAACCUACCCAUCAGAGGGGGAUAACACUUGGAAACAGGUGCUAAUACCGCAUAACAGUUUAUGCCGCAUGGCAUAAGAGUGAAAGGCGCUUUCGGGUGUCGCUGAUGGAUGGACCCGCGGUGCAUUAGCUAGUUGGUGAGGUAACGGCUCACCAAGGCCACGAUGCAUAGCCGACCUGAGAGGGUGAUCGGCCACACUGGGACUGAGACACGGCCCAGACUCCUACGGGAGGCAGCAGUAGGGAAUCUUCGGCAAUGGACGAAAGUCUGACCGAGCAACGCCGCGUGAGUGAAGAAGGUUUUCGGAUCGUAAAACUCUGUUGUUAGAGAAGAACAAGGACGUUAGUAACUGAACGUCCCCUGACGGUAUCUAACCAGAAAGCCACGGCUAACUACGUG
rnacentral:rRNA from 1 species